UAGCCAGCCAAUUAAUUUGCUUAUGUGAAGGUAUUUCUGCAGAAAGUUAGAAACAACUGGCAAUAGUGAUGCCACUUUAUGAGCCUUAAGGACAACUGAGGUUACUACUGUCCCUCAAAAUGGCUACGAUA